UGGCUCAGUUGGUAGAGCAUGGUGUUUGCAAUGCCAGGGUUGUGGGUUUGAUUCCCAC
rfam:Salmo salar isolate Sally breed double haploid chromosome ssa04, whole genome shotgun sequence.